AGUUCGGAUCGCAGGCUGCAACCCGCCUGCGUGAAGUUGGAAUCGCUAGUAAUCGCGGAUCAGCAUGCCGCGGUGAAUACGUUCCCGGGCCUUGUACACACCGCCCGUCACACCAUGAGAGUCGGGAACACCCGAAGUCCGUAGCCUAACCGCAAGGGGGGCGCGGCCGAAGGUGGGUUCGAUAAUUGGGGUGAAGUCGUAACAAGGUACC
rnacentral:rRNA from 1 species